AUGUCAACCGGAGAUUCACGAAAUAGCAUAGUAGAGACAGUGCGGAACAAGCUGCAUAGUUGGUUUCUUCAGAAAGAUGCAGAAUUGGGUGAUGAUUGUGUGGCAGUACUGCUGAAACUUUCACAGUUGCAUUGGAUAACCAAGAGCAUGAACCGAUGUCAUUUUGGCAGCAAUAUUGGAUGGUUCAGAACGGGCUACACAUAG